AGUAAUAAGAACUAAACUAUUGGAUUUUGUAUCCUCAGAAAAGGGCUAAACCCCUUUCUUCCUGUA
rnacentral:tRNA from 1 species